GUCAAGUUAGUAUACAUGGAACAAAUAUCUGAAUGUCUGUGAUGUGCCAAAUGAAACUUUCAUGGAACUAGGUAGUGAAUUAGCCAAACCAAAAAGCCCCAGGGAGCUGUGGGUGGGUGGGCAUGAAAAAGGAAACAUAAGCCUGCUACACUUCAGCCCAGUGGGAGGCCAUUUCUAGUCCUGAUGGAACCUGGAAGCUCUAGUUCCUACUAAAGAGCUAGCAAGUGAAGACCACCCCACCCCAGUCAUCUCUGAGGCCCAAAGAACCCAGGGUAGCCCAGUAGAGAAUGCUUAGAAAUGGGGAGGGAACGGAAAGGCAUCUUGCAAAUGGUAUUGAUGGAAAGCAGUCUCCUUAGUGGUAUUAUUGACCUGAGUUAUUGAUUUAAAACCUGAACUUUGUGCACCUUCAGACAGACGUAGUUUUGCAGACUGAACUCAGAUACAAUGAAGCAACGUUCUAGUGUGCCCUGUGAUGGGAUGAGAAGAGAGGAGGUGGAAGAGACCAUCAGACAUUCAAACUAGACCAGCCAAAUACCCUUCUCAGAUUAAUGAGAGAAGAAGACUGGCUUAUGGAGGAGUCGACCCUCUCAUUCACUUCUACUUCUCAGCCUCAGAGCUGGGCCUAGAUAGAGUGUCUGUCCUCGAGGCAUUGCUAUGGAAGUCUCCUGCUAUUCCAGGCAUCUGUAGUCUUGACCAGCUGUACUCUUCUCACCUACAUGGAUGCCUGGGAAGCCACUUGAUGGUGUCUUGCUGCUCCAGGUAGCUAUGGAAAAAGUUUGAUGUUAAUGCCAAGAUUGCUGUUGACAGAUCCUCUGAAAACC
rnacentral:lncRNA from 9 species